GGUGGGAUCAGGCGGUAACUG
rnacentral:siRNA from 1 species